GACGAACGCUGGCGGCGUGCUUAACACAUGCAGGUCGAACGGAAAGGCCCUGCUUUUGUGGGGUGCUCGAGUGGCGAACGGGUGAGUAACACGUGAGUAACCUGCCCUUGACUUUGGGAUAACUUCAGGAAACUGGGGCUAAUACCGGAUAGGAGCUCCUGCUGCAUGGUGGGGGUUGGAAAGUUUCGGCGGUUGGGGAUGGACUCGCGGCUUAUCAGCUUGUUGGUGGGGUAGUGGCUUACCAAGGCUUUGACGGGUAGCCGGCCUGAGAGGGUGACCGGCCACAUUGGGACUGAGAUACGGCCCAGACUCCUACGGGAGGCAGCAGUGGGGAAUAUUGCACAAUGGGCGGAAGCCUGAUGCAGCAACGCCGCGUGCGGGAUGACGGCCUUCGGGUUGUAAACCGCUUUCGCCUGUGACGAAGCGUGAGUGACGGUAAUGGGUAAAGAAGCACCGGCUAAUUACGUG
rnacentral:rRNA from 1 species